rnacentral:rRNA from 1 species
CCAAUAGCGUAUAUUAAAGUUGUUGCAGUUAAAAAGCUCGUAGUUGAACCUCGGGAUCAAUGGAUCGGUCAUGCCAUCGGUAUGUACUGGUCUCAUUGGUUCUCACCUUCUAAGGAACCAUGAUGUCAUUCAUUUGAUGUUGUGGGGAAUUAGGACUGUUACCUUGAAAAAAUUAGAGUGUUUAAAGCAGGCUAACGCUUGAAUACAUUAGCAUGGAAUAAUGAAAUAGGACAUCGCAUUCUAUUUUGUUGGUUUCUAAGAUCGAUGUAAUGAUUAAUAGGGAUAGUUGGGGGCAUUAGUAUUCAAUUGUCAGAGGUGAAAUUCUUGGAUUUAUUGAAGACUAACUACUGCGAAAGCAUUUGCCAAGGAUGUUUUCAUUAAUCAAGAACGAAAGUUAGGGGAUCGAAGACGAUCAGAUACCGUCGUAGUCUUAACCAUAAACUAUGCCGACUAGGGAUCGGAUGAUGUUGAUUUUUUAAUGACUCAUUCGGCACCUUACG